rnacentral:rRNA from 1 species
UAAUACGUAGGGCGCAAGCGUUGUCCGGAAUUAUUGGGCGUAAAGAGCUCGUAGGCGGCUUGUCACGUCGGGUGUGAAAGCCCGGGGCUUAACCCCGGGUCUGCAUUCGAUACGGGCUAGCUAGAGUGUGGUAGGGGAGAUCGGAAUUCCUGGUGUAGCGGUGAAAUGCGCAGAUAUCAGGAGGAACACCGGUGGCGAAGGCGGAUCUCUGGGCCAUUACUGACGCUGAGGAGCGAAAGCGUGGGGAGCGAACAGGAUUAGAUACCCUGGUAGUCCACGCCGUAAACGGUGGGAACUAGGUGUUGGCGACAUUCCACGUCGUCGGCGCCGCAGCUAACGCAUUAAGUUCCCCGCCUGGGGAGUACGGCCGCAAGGC